rnacentral:lncRNA from 1 species
CGAGACAGCUCCCUUCUGAUGCUUUCUAUCUGCCUUUGAAAUUCAUCAGCUGAGGGUGAGGAAGAGAUGGGAGAAUUGGAGUUUGAUUAUGUCAUAGAAGAAUUCCUGAAGGAAUUCUGAGAGAAGCUGACCAGAGACCAGAGAAAGUGCUAGAGUGCAGCAGAAUUGGUUGUUGUCUUUUUCUUUCAGCAAGCCAGCAACUAUCACGAUGGAGGUAGGAUUAUAUUUUACAAUUAAUAUUUGUUUUAAUGAG